UAGUUUAUACUAUAUAACUGUAUAGUUUUACUAUACAGUUAUAUGUUGUAAAUAUCACUCAAUCACUUGUAGACAAUAUGUUGCCCAAAUUGCACACGUUUCCCUUCCAAGAAAACAACAGUGAUGCUGUUUCUGUAAUGACAUUAGCUAUUAUUGUUUUGACAGUGGUCAUGUAAUUGACUAAAUGUUUCAUUUCUGGAACAGAGAAUGUUUUGGUGUUUUGAGAGAAUUAGUUAAUGAUGAUCAACGUUUUAGUGUUGUGACAGCAAAAUGAGCUUUUGUGCAGGAAAUGAACUGUUCGGUUAAAUGUGUGAGUUAAAUUUGUUUCUGUAUUUACAGUUUAGAAAUGUAUUUAAAGUACUGGUAAACUCUGAACUGGUAAACUAAUUUCGUCACUUUUUAUGCAUUAAUAUGCAAAUAGCUUAAUUCAGAUAUAAUAGUCUAAUAAUAUAAUAGAAGAGUCUGUGUAGUUUUAAACAUGGAAGCUGCGGAUCAGGCUCAUACGCGUCACUUCUGCUGCCCCUAGGCGCCACUUAAAAAACGCGCAUCUAACUGGCUUUAAUCUCCUGCAGCGCAGCUACACGACGCAACAGUCUGAAGAAACUUCUCAUUUCAGCUCAGAAUGGCUCACAUUACAGUGAGGCAUCUCGGAAUUAUCUUCCUUCUAACCUGUUUUACAUCGCAGGUGGUUUCUCAGACCACACUGUCUGCAAACUCAACCCUGUCACCAGUGAAGAACCAGACAUUUUUCAACGGCACUAUGGCAACAAGCACAUAUGGUGGUACAUUGAAUGUCACCACUGCUCCAGCCGGUGUCGCCUACCAACUGCGGCCCAGCGCCCUCUUUGUGGUAAUAUCUGGAGCCAUGGCAACCUCGCUGCUUCACUACUGCUGCUGAGUCACAUCUGUAACCUGCGUCCACUGCUUCAUCUUUAUCUUCCACACGAGCCUUACCACAAUCAAAGCAACACUGAGCCCUUACACUGGGGACUUGACAAGCAGAACAAAUUGUUUGCAAAGUCAAGAUAUGGGUAGACAUCUUUUACCUUCAGCGGAAUGAUUGUUCAAAAUAAAUCUAUGAAUUAAAUUUGCUUGAUUCAACUCUA